UAAGUCAUUUGUGAGCUCAGGCGGAAGCCAGCCUUACCCAGCAGUCCCUCCCCUGCUCACAGUGGCCUGUGGACUCCUCUAGCACUGGCAUCUGGGACUGAUGCAGACAGCAGAUGGCUUCCAUCUGUGCUACCACUGCCUAGCUUCUGACUCUGCCAUCAUGCUGGGGCAAGGAGGUGACAGGUUCCCUCCUGCCCCAGCUCAGACCCUUCAGCUCUGUCCCCAGGAAAACAUCCAAGGCGCCAACUUCUUGCCGCUGCCCCUUUAAACUUAGCCUGAAAUCUGUCACCUUUCCGUCUCCAGCUCCAUGUCUCCCUGUCUGGCCCCUGAUCCUCCGCUGCAUCACAAGGGAGGCUGAGCUGCUGGGCUCUGCUGAGGACCCUUGGGUUGCCCCUGGCUGGAGUCAGUCUGGGAAGGCUGUGAGGUUGGCCUGCACCGGCACCCCAAAGCCUGGCCGAAAGUGGGGGAUGUUGCUACAAAGGAGGACCCACAUGGAUCAGGCUCUGAUUCUGGGGCCACUCCUGCCCUACAGGGCAGGAAGGGCAGAAACCAGGGCUGCACGGGGAGCUUGGUCCAAAAGGACCCCAUAGCUGGGAAUGGACCCCAGCCUAGGCAGCCUCCACACCUACAUGAUCUGUGCUGGGACCCGCAGCUGUCUGGCUCCUCCCCAGUGAGGUCUCAGGGGCCUGGAGUAGGGCAUAGGGCUGGUCCUGUUUACCCUGCAUGGGGUUGCUUUUCCCCUGGAAGUCAGAGGAUUCACACACACAAGUCACUCACUGCCCCUCAGUUGCCUCCUUGUAGCUGGACCCCACACACAGCUCAGGCAGGCCUGGGAGAGGCGGGGCCUGGUUCUCCCUAGGUACACGUGCGUUACUAGGAGUUGUAGGGAGUGGCAAGGUUCUAUUCACACCCAUGCCCUUGUUAAUUUAGUCGACAGUUAUGGGGGGACCAGCAAGAAAUGAAGGGGUACCAGGAAGCCACCGGGAAGUGGACUCAGACUAGCCCUGCUGCCCUGGAGGCCCUCCCCAGGUGCAUGUGCCCCGCCCCUCUGCCACGCGAUUGGCCAGGCUGGUCCCCAGGCGGGUGCAUAGGCUGGAGCCCGCAGAGCUCUCAGUUUAGUUCUGCAAAGACCCUCCAGACCACAAGGAGACCCGGGACAGCACCAUGGGCGGCCUCUGGCUCUGGCUGCUCUGUGCACUGUGGCCCCAGGCGAUUGCACUCAGCCCAUCCUUGCCCCCCGUGGAGCAGUAUGAGGUGGUGUGGCCCAAACGUCUGCCUGGACCCCGCACCCGCCGAGCUCUGCCCUCCCACAGGGGCCUGUACCCUGAGAGUGUGAGCUAUGUCCUUGGGGCCGGAGGACACACCUUCACCCUGCACCUGCGGAUAAACAGGGACCUGCUGGGCGUGGGCUACACAGAGACUUAUUCAGCUGCCAAUGGCUCUGAGGUGACAGAGCAGUGGCAUGGGCAGGACCACUGCCUCUACCAGGGUCACGUGGAGGGUCACCAGAGCUCUGCUGCUAGCCUCAGUACGUGUGAUGGCCUCAGGGGCUUCUUCCGGGUGGGCUCUGCCAUCCAUGUGAUCGAGCCUCUAGAUGGAGGUGGUGAGGAGGGGCAGCAUGCAGUGUACCAGGCCAGGCACCUGCAGCAGAAGGCUGGGACUUGUGGGGUCAGCGAUGCCAGCCUGGACAACCUUCUGGGGCCUCGGGUCUCAGCAGCCUUCAGGCCUCAGCCCCGGAACUGGCCCCUGUCCCGAGAUACCCGCUAUGUGGAGCUGUAUGUGGUCACAGACAGCAAGGAGUUCCAGCAGCUGGGGAGCAGAGAGGCCGUGCGCAGGCGUGUGCUGGAGGUGGUGAACCAUGUGGACAAGUUUUAUCAGGAGCUCAAUUUCCGUGUGGUAUUGGUGGGCCUGGAGAUCUGGAGCAGGGACAAGGUCCCCAUCAGCCCCCAUGCCAACAUCACCCUGGAGAACUUCCUUUCCUGGCGGGCACAGGACCUGAUGGGGAGACACCCCCAUGACAAUGUGCAGCUCAUCACGGGGGUCGACUUUACCGGGACCACUGUGGGACUGGCUCAGGUGUCUGCCCUGUGCUCUCGGGCCUCCGGGGCUGUGAAUCAGGACCACAGCCAGAACCCUAUCGGCGUGGCAUCCACCAUGGCCCACGAACUGGGCCACAACCUGGGCAUGAACCAUGACGAGAAUGUCCAGGGAUGCUACUGCCCCGUGCCGCGGGAGGGUGGUGGCUGCAUCAUGGCGGCCAGCAUUGGCUCCAAGUUCCCCAGGACGUUCAGCAGGUGCAGCAGGACUGACCUAGAGAUGUUCCUGGAGAAACCCCAGACGGGCUGCCUGGCCAAUGCCCCUGACCCUGACCGGCUGGUGGGAGGCCCUGUGUGUGGGAACAUGUUUGUGGAGCGUGGGGAGCAGUGUGACUGUGGCACUCCCCAGGACUGUCAGAACCGCUGCUGCAAUGCCACAACAUGCCAGCUGGCUGAGGGGGCCAAGUGUGCCCAUGGCACCUGCUGCCACGAGUGCAGGGUGAAGCCAGCUGGUGAGCCAUGCCGCCCCCAGAGGGACCAGUGUGACCUGGAGGAGUUCUGCGAUGGCCGGAGUCCAGCGUGCCCAGAGGAUGUCUUCCAGGAGAACGGCACACCCUGUCCUGGGGGCUACUGCUUUAAUGGGCACUGCCCCACACUAGCCCAGCGGUGCCAGGAACUGUGGGGUCCAGGUGCACAGGUUGCUGCAGACACCUGCUUCUCCUUCAGCAUCUCUCCAGGCUGCAGAGGCAGGAUCACCCCCAGCAUGGGCAGGGCCGACAGAUGUGGGGUCCUAUACUGUGCAGGGGGCCGGCAGCCCCCAGAGCGCAGCUCCUGUACACUCAGUUCCUACUCGGGCAAUUGCCAAGCUCUGCACGUGGACAGCGAGGCCUCUGCCUAUGAGCCUGUGCCCCAGGGCACCAGGUGUGAUAAGGGGAAGAUUUGCUGGGAAGGGCGCUGCCAAGACCUCCAGGUCUACAGAUCCAAGAACUGCUCCGCCCAGUGCCACAACCAUGGGGUGUGCAACCACAAGAGGGAGUGUCACUGCCACGUGGGCUGGGCACCGCCCCACUGUGCGGAGCUACUGACAGACAUGCAGGCAGCACCUGGGAGUCUCCUGGUCAGCGUGCUGGUGCCCCUAGUGCUCCUGAUGGCCAUGCUGGCCACCCUGGCAGGCGUCAUCGUACACCGCAAGGUCUGGAGCCGUGUGCCCAGGAGGAGUGUAGCACCCAAGACCACCAUGGGGCUCUCCAACCCCCUGUUCCAGGAGGCAGGCAGCAGUGGGCCAACCAAGGGCAGGGCUCCAGGGCCCCCAAAGCUGGUGUCUACCACGCACCCCAGCCAGCCCGUCAGAGCCACUGUGGCCCCAAAGAGGCUGCCCCCUGCACCUCCAGUCAUGUCCAGUCCACCCUUCCCAGUCCCUAUCUACCCACAGAAGGCACCAGACCAGCUCAGACCUGCUCCACCCACCAAGCCCCUCCCAAAGCUGAAGCCCAAGCAGGUUGGCUGUCCACCAAGUGUUGCUGGAUGCCCUCCCAGGCAGGCCUCUGUCUACCUCUAGGUGGUCAAAGCCUGUCAAGCCAACCUCUGCACCCCCAUUGCCACCUGUCAAGCCCAGUGCUGGAGAGACCACACCUGGAAUGACUCAGGGGGUCAAAGGCCCCAAAGUCCCGCUGAAGCCCCGCAUCCGAAGG